rnacentral:lncRNA from 1 species
ACCUUCCUCUGGGGUCCAGGCAGGGCAGGGAAAGCCCCAGGGCUCCAGUUGCAACACUCCCACCGCACUUGACCACAGUGACACCCCUCCCCCCCCCCCACCCCAGGCAGCAGGGUCUUCCGAGGUUUUCCUGGAGCCCUGCUGUGUCCCAGGCAUGGUAACCAUCGAACUUGAGGCAUUCCAGAUCCCCCGCCCCCAGCGUUCUUCUGUCCCUUGGGCUGGUACUUCCCACGUGGGGCCAGCCGGCAAGCAUCACCGUCACCACGGUGUGGGGUAGGAAGCCUGGCACUGGAAUUUAGGGGAGGGUCUGUCUGGACGCUCCCCGGAGUCAGAGCCAGAACCGCUAUCCUGCCGGGGUCUUCUGAGCCCAAGGCCCCCCGGUCGGCACGAGCCUGACCCUCUGCCGGCAUGAUGAGGCCCACUGGACAGAACAGGGUGCCGCAGCCCUGUGGAGGGCAGAGCUGAGCUGCUCGGGGCUGGCCAGGCUGCCUGGGACUCUUUCCCUGGCCUCUGGGCUGAGGUCCAGCCCCCUGACCUCUGAGAAAACACAGGGAAGACAAAGGAUCCGAGCACCAGCAGCAAAUACAACACCUUGUGCCCUGGGGCACUUGCUUGCCCAGUGUCAGGGGUGGGGGCAGCAAGACAGAGAGACAGGUCCCAGCGUAGAGGGCAGGCAGGGAUGGCCCAGGGCUCCCGCAGGUCUGGCUUAUACCAAUCCCGGGGUGGGGGGAGGUCCCUGAAGACGUGCCCCCACUUCCCCUGACCUGGGGGGAGGCCGGAGCCCCAGAGCCCUCCACAGCCAGAGCUGGGCCUAAUAAAGGUGGGGGUCAGGGUGCCACACACCUGGGCGACCGCUGCCCAAGGGGCUGGCUUGUCACCCGUAAAGGCCAGGCUGGCAGGUGCUGUUUCCCUGGCUUCGCCACAGGACCCACAGGAAGUCCUAGGCCACGGGGAUCGAGGUCAUGGGCAGGAGCCUCUGGGCCUACAGCACGGGGUCACAGAGGCAUCUCGGGCAGAUGGCGUCAAACCCUGUUCCUGCCUCCCCGGUGCUUGGGGUGGUGAGGGGAGGGCACCUGUCCCCAGAAGGAUCCAAGGGGGCCAGGCCUCGCCGGGAAUGGUGUCUACAGAGGGAGUUUGGGCCCAGAGGAGACGCGGGAAGGCCCGAGGCUUCGGCAGCAUGUGCAGGAGCAGUGUGGGGCCGGGCGGGGUGACGGAGUGAGGCCGCUCUGUCCCUCAGCAGGUGAGCGGGCCCACGUCCCGUGCAGGAAAGGGAUGAAGCGUGACACCUGCGGGGACACAGGCCGGCCCCGGAGGCGUGCUCAGCGAAGGAAGCCCCAAUGCACCAGGACAGAGGCUGUGGGCACCCCCCCGCCCCCCGUGUGAGGGGCCCACGCUGCUCCCAGCCACAGAGAUAGGACGCAGCCGGUGGGCCAGGCGCCCAGUGAAGUGACCGCUGAAGGGGUGCGUGGCCUCUUUUGGCGUGACUGAAGUGUCCUGUGAUGCUCGUACACCUGCAAAACCCAGAAUUGUGCGUUCUAAACAGUGACCUCUGUGGUGUGUGAAUUAUUUCUCAGUAAAGCUGUCGCACUUAGUAAUCAGGUAACUGAUAUUUUGAAAUUUUUUUUACACUUACUUAUUUUUUUGGGAGACAGAGCACAAGUGGCGGGAGGGGCAGAGAGAGAGAAGGAGGCACAGAAUCCGAAGCAGGCUCCAGGCUCUGAGCCGUCAGCACAGGGCCCGACGCGGGGCUUGAACUCACAAGCUGUGAUAUCAUGACCCGAGCUAAAGUUGGACGCUCAACUGACUGAGCCACCCGGGCGCCCCGUGGGUAACUGAUAUUUUAAUGCAAUACCUUAAAGGGUCAAAAUCAAUGAGGAAAUCUGCAAUGAGCAACAUACCCCGAUCUUGAUUCACAGGAGCAGGAACAGAGCCGUCGGGGGCCUGAGACAAAGGGAUGUCUGCCCGUCAGCCUGGCACCCCUCCAGUCCACACCCCAGAUGAGCCCCUGAUCUGGCCAGCCUGGGGGGUAGCAGCCUCCUUUGUGCCCCUUGGGAACACGCAGGCCCCCUUUUAGGCCCCUAAUAAAGGGAGGGGGCCUGCUCUCCAUUCUAGCUGGGUCCGCACCUGAGGCUUGGGGAGAGUGUCACAGUGGGGGGCAGGCCUGGGGUGGGAGAGAGAGCAGGAGGGGGAGAGCAUGAGAGGGUCAAGGGGAGGGGGCUUGUUAAGUGUCCUGGGGCUGCCCUGACAAAUGACCACGAGCCGGGGGGCUCAAAACAGCAGAAGUGUGCUCUCGUACAACUCUGGUGCGAGGAGGGAAACUGACGGUCGGAAGGCACAUCCCCUGAAGGUCUAGGGGAAGCGUCUCUGUCCUCUUCCAGCUCCUGGUGGCCCCAGGGGUCCCUUGACCCGUGGCCAUGUCACUCCAAUCUCUGCCUCCAUCAUCCUGUGGCCUUCUCCCCUCCUCUGGGUGUCUCUUGUUCUCAUAAGGAACCCGUCAGUGGCUCUAGGGCCCAUCCCAAUCUAGAAUGAUGCCAUCGUAACUGGGCACAUUGGCAAAGACUGUUUCCAAACAAGAUCCCAUUGACGGGUACCAGGAUUCGGGUGUGGACACACCUCUUGGGAGGCCCCCUCAUCCCACUACAGAGGUGGAGACGGGGCAGGGCCAAGGGCACAGGGACAGCAUCUGUAGAGUCUCUCCUGUAAUAAUGAGACACAUUGGCAUUUCUGCACAUGAGGUUGCCCGUGUGGGGACGGGCACCACAGUGGGCAUUGCAGGGCCCCAGGGACACCCUGCCUGCAGGGGUUUCACCCCCAGGAGACUCACGGCACCCACAGCCCCAGACCCGCUCCCCUGGCCCACCCCUUCCUGCUGCACCAGGAACGUGGCCACAGCCUGGGGGUGGGAGGAGGGGGACAGGUGCCUGUCCCUGCUUGUGCGUGUGGUCGGCAGGGGCAGCUGCAAAGGGAAAGGCCUGUCUCCCUCCCCCUGAACUUGCCCCAGACCCAGAAGAACUCUCCUACACGGGCCUGCCUCCCACUGUUGUGCUUGGCAGGGGGAUGACAGAAGGGGUUCUGGCAUUUGCCAAAGAGGCAGGACGCAGUCACCGAGAGUGCCAGAGUUCCAAGCCAGCCUGGCCCCCACAGCACCCCCAGGGGGACAGGCCCUGACCUGGGAGGAGUCUGAGGCUUGCACCAGCCUUGUCCUUAUGUAAAAACGGCUUCCUGGGAAAGAAGGGCUAAUUCCCCUCAUAUUUGCGGGCCUUGGGGCAGGGCUGGGCUGCUGAGGGCUCUGCAGGGGGCAGGAGAGGGGGUGCGGAGACCAGGCCCGCCCCUCUCCCCCAGCAGUGGUUCCAGGCAGGAGAGGGCAGUGCCUGCUGUGCCCGUGCACGGGGACAACACUGUGCCCAGAGCUGUGAGGUGGCCCCCAUGACCCAUCCAGGCCAGCUCAGCCCGGAGAGCGGGCCCAGGGCCGCAGGUGAGGGGGUGCGGCCUGACUCUGGACAGAAAUGAAAGCAGAGGGGCCUCCCAGAAGCCAGCUAUCUGUCCGCUCAGGGCAGGUGCUGGUUCCAGGGGCCCGCCCGUCCGCUCUCCAUCCCGGGAACUCACCCCAGGCUUCCCACCCCUUACCUGCAACCUAGGCAGAAGUGGACACAGACCGGGCCUUCUGGAAUAUGCAGGGGCAGACGGAGCGGGACUCAGCACUGGGCCAGUCACACUGCGAGACCCUUCACUGGUGCUUAUUUUUUAGGUUUUCUCUUUGAUUUAUGCUUCAUUAAAAGCAUUGUUUCGGGGCGCCUGGGUGGCUCAGUCGGUUGAGCAUCCGACUCUUGAUUUCGGCUUAGCUUGUGAUCUCACGGUCUCACUCCCUCAAAAUAAAUAAAUCAAUCUUUUUGUAAAAAAGCAUUGUUUCCCAUUCUACAUUAAAAAAAACUUUUUUUAUGUUUAUUUUUCACAGAGACAAAGAGACAGAGCGUGAGCGGGGGAGGGGCAGAGAGAGAGGGAGACACAGAAUCCCUCCAAGCAGGCUCCAGGCCCCGAGCUGUCAGCACAGAGCCUGACGGGGGUCUCGAAUUCACAAACUGCGAGAUCAUGACCUGAGCCGAAGUCCGACACUUAUCCAACUGAGCCACCCAGGCGCCCCAAAUAUUUCCUUUUUCUUAUCAAGGUAAAAUUUGUGUAACAUAAAACAAACCAUUUUAACAUGAACGAUUCAGUGGCAUCUAGCCCAUUCAUAAUGUUGUGCAACCAGUUCUAGAACGUUCUCCCCACUCCAAAAUAAAAGCCUGUUCUAUUUUAAUUCCUCACUUCCCACCCCUCCAUCCCUCAGCAACCCCCAGCCUGCUGUCUGUCUCUACGGAUUUGCCAAUUCUGGAUAUUCUAGACAAAUGGAAUCACACGCUCCGUGGUCCUCUGUGACUGGCUCCUGUCCCUCAUGAGUGUGAGGGUUCGUCCAGCGUUUCAUUCCUUUUGUGCCGAACAGUGUACAUUGAGGGAGUGUCAGCACUGCCUGCUGGGGACGAGACCUUGGGGUCCGCGUGCACGUGCAGGCGUGCAUUCCACACGGGCACGGAGCAGACGGGCGUGCCGGGAAUGUUUAGGGCAAGAACGUGGAACCGCCCACGGUUUGUCCCAAUCAUCCUGCCCUUGUGACCAUAGCCAAGGAGGAGACACUCCCCUGGACAGAGACACGCAUUGAAAUAGCAUCUCUGUGACAAAAAUGCUGGGAUCUGUCCAGGGUCCAGCAGCCGUGGCCAGGGAGAGAAGUUUCUGGAACAUCCUUAGCUUGCAGGCCUCACAGGAAGUUGUUACACAAAGUAACAUGUGUGAGCGACUCACACAGAGACGACGGAUCUCAGAGCUGUGUCCGCGCUGUGCACGAUCACCAGGGAAACCCACGCAGAGGAAAGCUGGAUUUGGGGCUGGGAAGGGGCUGGGAAGGGGCUGCUCCGCACGGGCGUUACUGGGGCCCGGCUCUGUUGGUGAAGCACACGGGCCCAGAAAGCCAACGGACAUAAGGUGUCUCCAGGCAGACCACAGCCGGGAAGGGUUCCCGGGGUGCAGCUGUCUCUGGUCUCCCUGCUCUCAGCCUGGUGACUGUCCUGCGAGGAGGACCCUGCCCAGAGAGAGAGGCCAGCCCUGCCUGGGGUCCCACAGCCCUGGUGGGAGGCCGCGUGGCCUGACAGAGACCACUUCCCUGACCCCGCCUCACCUUUAUGGCCAGCCCUGACAUGGCUCCCUGGCCCCCUCCAGUGACCCAUGCACACAGGACAGCCGCCCGGCCUGGAUGCUCACCGGAGGAGGUCCCAUCAUUGUCCAGUGGCUUCUGGUGGCUUCUCGGACAUGCUGGCCAGCCUGCACGCCCUGGGUGACCCUGGCAGGCCCAACCAGCCAUCUCCUGGACCCCUCCACUCCCCUCAGCCCUAUGAGGCCAGCAGGCAGGGUGGGACCUAAUACAACAGACACUUGCUGUCCACUCUCCCCGCCCCCACCGCGGCUUGGGGAGACCAGGCGCUGCCGACAAGUCAGCCUGCCCAGCCCAGUAUGGACGUGCCAGGUGCCAGCGAGCCCCUGGGGGAGGCCAGCGCCAGGCUGGAGUGCCCGGGGGGGGCAGGGAGGGGGGACAGGUGCAACCCAAGCCGUAAACAGGCCCAGGGGUUGCAGGUAUAAAAGCAGACUCUCAGCACCCCCAGCCUGACCUGUCACCCAGAACCCUCAAAGGAAGCCAGGCGGAGGUGAGCCCUGCCCGGGGAGGGGGGCAUGGGCUCUGGGCCCAGCCAGAGCGUCUGGCAGAAGCUGCGGGCCUCAUCUUCAUCCGUAGGACAGGGGGAGGCCCAGGGGGCUGAGGAGACUGCAGGGAGGUCCGGGGGGAGGGAGGAAAAGGAGGAGGAAGGGGAGGGGCAGCCCCAAGGGAGCCCCAGUCUAAAGGCAGCUGCGUGUGCCUGGGUGGGCACGUGUGCACACUCACGCUGGUGUGGCCUCCAAGAAAGUGCUAUCAUUGGGGAGCAGUGUGGGGAGGCUGAGACCCACUCACUCACCUCAGGGCCCCAGGUGCUGAGUGGGGGGUCAGGGAGCCUGGGGGUGGGGAGGGUCCAAGGCCAACAGACCCGCUGACUCUGGCAGGCACGCUAAGCCAGCUCUGGAUCCCCUGGGACCCAGUCCCCAUCCAGUGGGGCCCCUACUUCCAUCACCCCCACCCCCAGCCCUCCCUGGGACCCAGUCCCUGUCUGAGGCGACCCCCUGCCUCAAUUACCCUCCCCCUCCCCCCAGCCCAUGCAGCAUUUUUUCUCAUGUCACCAUCUGAACUUGGUGACUCACUGGCAAGUGCCAGAGGCAGAACAGCCCCCAGGGGGGCUCCGCGGGGGGUCCCCAGGGGUCCGGGGUGGGGGGGAGGUCCCUGCCAGCCUUGAGAGGAUGUUCAGGACAUAGCAAUGCUGGGGACAUGCGGGGGUCUUAGCCAGGCUUUAAAGCUCCAGUCCUGCUUUGGCGGGGGAAGUCAGUGAGGUGGGAGGGAGGGAGGGUCCUGUCGGAGGACAAGGACGAAGCGGGUGCCUUUCCAGGCACUGGGAGCAGCCCGGGAGGCUGGGCAGGGGGCCCACGGCACCAAAGGGCUGGCUCUGUGUGGUGCCCCACAGCUCCCACCCCCCCGGCUCUAGCGGGACCUAUCAGCCUCCUUCCGGGGGUGAGUGAGACUCCAUCCCAGGCCUUGGGUCAGGGCUAUAAAUACACCACCAGCAGCCUGAGGCCCCAGGCCCUGUCCCCCCUCUGGCUCUGAUCUCAGGCUCCCCUGCCUUCCUGUGGGGGGUACCCUCAGAGCAGUGGGGUGGAGCGGGUGAACGGACACAGCCCAGGGCGCCCACCAGGCUCCGGAGAUGGGACGCCACCCCGGGCUCAGCCAGACCUGGCCUGGAAUUUGGCCGAGGCCGUCGUCUGUAAAGCGGGUGACCCUGGCUCCGGCGGGGCCCCAAGUGGCAGGCAGGGCAUCCCCUCCCUCCAGAAUGGAGUUCUGAGACUCCAGGGCGGCAGAGGGGGAAUCGGAGUCUCAGCCCAGGAUGUGGGGUGGUGGGGCCUGUCUUGUGCGACUCUGUGGCCCAGGCCUGCCCCUGACCGCAGCUGACCACCGCCGCCCCCCCCCGGGCCAGCCGCAGAAGUUGGCUGUUAGGGUUGACGCUUGGGGGCUCAGCUCCAGGCCCACUCCAGGGCCCAAAGCCCUUUCCCCGGCGUCUCCCUUCCCUCCUGGUUCCUCGCACGACCGUGAGAAGGGGCAGGGCGGGCAGGGGUCGCCCCGUUUCACAGAUGAGGAGCCCGAGGCCCGGAUCAGCUGUGAGGCAUGCCCAGGAUCGGGAAGGAGGAUGUGGCUAGGGGGCUGUGUCCAGCACUGCCUGCCCCCCGGGGCUGCCAGGGUCGAGGUGCAACCUUUGACCUGUGGCUUGGCUAUUGGGGAAGAAGGUAGAGGCUCCUCCAGUCACUGCCCAGCCCCACUCAGGACACACGGGCCACUGGCUGCCCUUCCUGGCCAUGGGAGUAUGUUCCAGAAAGUUCUGUCACCCCAUGAACUUUCAAGAGGGCCAAGGAGCCUCUGAAAUAGCUGUUUUGCCACAAGCUCCAGAACCCAACCCCCCCCAGGGACGGCAACCCGAGAGCCCGGCGGGUCACAAGGCACCGCCCUGACCGAAGGACAGCCUGGUCCCCACCUGCUGGCCCCUCGGCCUGUGACCAGACCCCCACCCGCCUGGCUGGAGUCCUGGCCUGCCUCGGUGGCUCCUGCUUGACACGGGCUCUCUGCGAACGGAGGACAGGGACAUGCGUUCCGCCAGGGGCCGUGGUCCUCCCUGCUCAGGGAGGCUCAAUCCACAGCCAGCCCGAGACCGGCCUGCGCUCGGCACACCUCCUGCGGGUGGUCAGGUGCCGGCCAGAAAGACCAAUACCUGCCCGUCUGGGGUCUGGGGAGCGAGGCCCGGGCUGUGGGCCCCGAGUCCUGAGUCCUGAUGGAAAGAGGUGGGGCUUUAGGUAACCACGAAGGCUUCCUAGAGGAGGCGGCUUUGAGAUGGGCCCGGAAGGAGCGAGGGAAGUUCCCUGACGGCGCUGAGGGGUCGGAUGGCAGCCACCCCACCUUCUGAGCGGAGUGAAGGACCUUGUGAUCGUUACUUACCGGACGCAGGCCUCAGCCUCUUCCGUGAAACGGGUGCGGUACCUCAAGGGGGCCAGCUGGCGUGAGGCAGGUCUCAGGCACACCUUCCCCCAGGGCCCCGGACCCGGGAGUCUCUGUGGUCAAGGGCAGCCGGGGGCCUGGUCCAGGCCCCUGGGGACCCUGCUCGGGAGGCGGGAGCCGGCACCAGGCAGGGGAGGUGUCUGCUCUGGUCUGAGCAGAGCGCCCCGCACCCAACCCGUGUGCACCCACCGAGCCGACUCCCUGUCCACCGCAGGGCCAGGAUGGACGAGGACUUCUCCUCUCAGAUGAAGAAGAUGGCCUUGGCCAUGGGCACGUCCCUGUCAGACAAGGACAUAGAGCUGCUGCCCACGGACAUGAGGCAUCACGGUAUAGCACACCCCUCGUCCCCGGCACCGUGUCCCGACCCCGGGCCUGGCCCAGCCACGGCCGAGGAAGCGGUGGACACAGGAGUCCCUCUGGGAGCUCCCCCUUCCCCGGGGCUGGGCAGCCUCGCGCACACAGGGGUGGGGGGAGGGGAAGUGCAGGACACGGCAGUCCCCACCCCCAGGGCAGACGCCUCCCUCUGGGCUCCCCGUGACCUGCGCCUGGCUGUCCCAGGCUCCUUCAACUACCUCAAGUUCUUGGAGUACAUGCAGAAGUUCCAGGCCUCGGGGCAGCUGGAGAGCGCCAUCCGCCAGGCCUUCCAGACUCUGGACAAGGACAAGAGUGGCUUCAUCGAGUGGAACGAGAUCAAGUAAUGGCCAGUGGCUGGGGAGAGGGGUACCGAGCCUCGGGCCCCGUGCCCAGUCCACGGCCGCCGCAUCCACCCCGGCACAAGGCACGAGACCUGGCGCCCCCCCGUUGGGCCCCAGCUGGCCUCGUGGGAGGUGGGGCGGCCGGAAACAGCCCAGGUCCACAGCACUGGGGCCAGGCCCAGAGACGACUCUCCAGCCGGGCCUCAGUUUCCCCACCUGUAAAGUGGGGAGUGAGCACCUUGCAAACCAUCGGGCACCGGCCAGACACCCCCUCGGCUCUGACCCGAGCCCACCCCUGGCUCCAGGUACAUCCUGUCC